rnacentral:rRNA from 1 species
GACGAACGCUGGCGGCGUGCUUAACACAUGCAAGUCGAACGGAAAGGCCCUGCUUUUGCGGGGUGCUCGAGUGGCGAACGGGUGAGUAACCCGUGAGUAACCCGCCCUUGACUGUGUGAUAACUUCAGGAAACUGGGGCUAAUACCUGAUAGGUGCUCCUGCUGCAUGGUGGGGGUUGGAAAGCUUCGGCGGUUGGGGAUGGACUCGGGGCUUAUCAGCUUGUUGGGGGGGUAGUGGCUUACCAAGGGUUUGACGGGUAGCCGGCCUGAGAGGGUGACCAGCCACAUUGGGACUAAGAUACGGCCCAGACUCCUACGGGAGGCAGCAGUGGGGAAUAUUGCACAAUGGGCGGAAGCCUGAUGCAGCGACGCCGCGUGCGGGAUGACGGCCUUCGGGUUGUAAACCGCUUUCGCCUGUGACGAAGCGUGAGUGACGGUAAUGGGUAAAGAAGCACCGGCUAACUACGUG